ACCAGCAGUUCUGUCACCCUGCAGCUCACCACUAGCAGUCCACUGAAGCUUAGCAGGUGUGAGCCUGGCCCGUACCUGGAUGGGAGACCUCCUGGGAAAGCUAAGGCUGCUGCUGGAA
rnacentral:rRNA from 1 species